rnacentral:rRNA from 1 species
UAAGGAAUAUUGGUCAAUGGACGCAAGUCUGAACCAGCCAUGCCGCGUGAAGGAUGAAGGUCCUCUGGACUGUAAACUUCUUUUGUGUGGGAAGAAAUCCUUGAAUUCUUUCGAGGUUGACGGUACCACAAGAAUAAGCACCGGCUAACUCCGUGCCAGCAGCCGCGGUAAUACGGAGGGUGCAAGCGUUAUCCGGAUUCACUGGGUUUAAAGGGUGCGUAGGUGGGUCUGUAAGUCCGUGGUGAAAUCUCCAAGCUUAACUUGGAAACUGCCAUGGAUACUAUAGGUCUUGAAUACCGUGGAGGUGAGCGGAAUAUGUCAUGUAGCGGUGAAAUGCUUAGAUAUGACAUAGAACACCAAUUGCGAAGGCAGCUCACUACACGAAUAUUGACACUGAGGCACGAAAGCGUGGGGAUCAAA